rnacentral:rRNA from 1 species
AUGUGUAGGAUAGGUGGGAGGCUUUGAAGCGUGGACGCCAGUCUGCGUGGAGCCGACCUUGAAAUACCACCCUUUAAUGUUUGAUGUUCUAACGUGGACCCGUGAUCCGGGUUGCGGACAGUGUCUGGUGGGUAGUUUGACUGGGGCGGUCUCCUCCUAAAGAGUAACGGAGGAGCACGAAGGUUGGCUAAUCCUGGUCGGACAUCAGGAGGUUAGUGCAAUGGCAUAAGCCAGCUUGACUGCGAGCGUGACGGCGCGAGCAGGUGCGAAAGCAGGUCAUAGUGAUCCGGUGGUUCUGAAUGGAAGGGCCAUCGCUCAACGGAUAAAAGGUACUCCGGGGAUAACAGGCUGAUACCGCCCAAGAGUUCAUAUCGACGGCGGUGUUUGGCACCUCGAUGUCGGCUCAUCACAUCCUGGGGCUGAAGUAGGUCCCAAGGGUAUGGCUGUUCGCCAUUUAAAGUGGUACGCGAGCUGGGUUUAGAACGUCGUGAGACAGUUCGGUCCCUAUCUGCCGUGGGCGCUGGAGAACUGAGGGGGGCUGCUCCUAGUACGAGAGGACCGGAGUGGACGCAUCACUGGUGUUCGGGUUGUCAUGCCAAUGGCACUGCCCGGUAGCUAAAUGCGGAAGAGAUAAGUGCUGAAAGCAUCUAAGCACGAAACUUGCCCCGA